rnacentral:piRNA from 1 species
GGGGCACCAGUUGUGCUGAUUGCUUCAGGUC